rnacentral:lncRNA from 1 species
UAUGUAACAGAAUCUUUAGUACUUGUCCUCAGUUACCCAGACAAUAUCCUUUUCUCUUGUUUCCAGAUUUAAGUAUCAUGAACUAUCCACAUGCAUCUCCCUCCCAGUUCUCAACACUCUUCUAGGUGGUUCCCAGCCAUCUCAAAUGUCUGCUUUGUUCAUCAGCAGGAAACCAGCCUGCUCUGAAGGGACAUUUGAAAUGAAGAAAUAGAGGACAAAUAUAAAUAUGGAUGGAGGUUAAAACUCCCAGUAUAGGUGUGAAGUCAUAAACCAUUUGACCGAAAAUAAUUCAUUAUGUUGUUUGUGUUGCCAGCUUGCUGAACUCAUGGAACAAAAAUUCCUGGGAGGUAAAAGAAACUGUAGGGUAAACAGUGAAAGUAAAAAAUGAAAAGAAAAAAAAAAUUGUAUAAGUCAUGCAUUAUUUUGUAGUAAAGUCGCUCUUCAUUGCUUUUAUUUCUCCCCCCCCCCCCCAGAUUUAUGGAUUUUCAAACAAAGAAGAAUUCUGUGAGAGCGCAUGUUGUACUUCUGAUUGCAGCAGAUGCACACAGGAACUGACAACACAGUUUGGAAGAAUAGUGUGUGAAUUUGUGUCUGAGAGAGACUGA